rnacentral:rRNA from 1 species
AGUCAAGUGAAUAAGUGCAUCAGGCGGAUGCCUUGGCGAUGAUAGGCGACGAAGGACGUGUAAGCCUGCGAAAAGCGCGGGGGAGCUGGCAAUAAAGCUAUGAUUCCGCGAUGUCCGAAUGGGGAAACCCACUGCAUUCUGUGCAGUAUCCUAAGUUGAAUACAUAGGCUUAGAGAAGCGAACCCGGAGAACUGAACCAUCUAAGUACCCGGAGGAAAAGAAAUCAACCGAGAUUCCGCAAGUAGUGGCGAGCGAACGCGGAGGAGCCUGUACGUAAUAACUGUCGAGAUAGAAGAACAAGCUGGGAAGCUUGACCAUAGCGGGUGACAGUCCCGUAUUCGAAAUCUCAACAGCGGUACUAAGCGUACGAAAAGUAGGGCGGGACACGUGAAAUCCUGUCUGAAUAUGGGGGGACCAUCCUCCAAGGCUAAAUACUCAUCAUCGACCGAUAGUGAACCAGUACCGUGAGGGAAAGGCGAAAAGAACCCCGGGAGGGGAGUGAAACAGAACCUGAAACCUGAUGCAUACAAACAGUGGGAGCGCCCUAGUGGUGUGACUGCGUACCUUUUGUAUAAUGGGUCAACGACUUACAUUCAGUAGCGAGCUUAACCGGAUAGGGGAGGCGUAGGGAAACCGAGUCUUAAUAGGGCGAUGAGUUGCUGGGUGUAGACCCGAAACCGAGUGAUCUAUCCAUGGUCAGGUUGAAGGUGCCGUAACAGGUACUGGAGGACCGAACCCACGCAUGUUGCAAAAUGCGGGGAUGAGCUGUGGGUAGGGGUGAAAGGCUAAACAAACUCGGAGAUAGCUGGUUCUCCCCGAAAACUAUUUAGGUAGUGCCUCGAGCAAGACACUGAUGGGGGUAAAGCACUGUUAUGGCUAGGGGGUUAUUGCAACUUACCAACCCAUGGCAAACUCAGAAUACCAUCAAGUGGUUCCUCGGGAGACAGACAGCGGGUGCUAACGUCCGUUGUCAAGAGGGAAACAACCCAGACCGCCGGCUAAGGUCCCAAAUGAUAGAUUAAGUGGUAAACGAAGUGGGAAGGCACAGACAGCCAGGAUGUUGGCUUAGAAGCAGCCAUCAUUUAAAGAAAGCGUAAUAGCUCACUGGUCGAGUCGUCCUGCGCGGAAGAUGUAACGGGGCUCAAAUCUAUAACCGAAGCUGCGGAUGCCGGUUUACCGGCAUGGUAGGGGAGCGUUCUGUAGGCUGAUGAAGGUGCAUUGUAAAGUGUGCUGGAGGUAUCAGAAGUGCGAAUGUUGACAUGAGUAGCGAUAAAGCGGGUGAAAAGCCCGCUCGCCGAAAGCCCAAGGUUUCCUACGCAACGUUCAUCGGCGUAGGGUAAGUCGGCCCCUAAGGCGAGGCAGAAAUGCGUAGUCGAUGGGAAACAGGUUAAUAUUCCUGUACUUGAUUCAAAUGCGAUGUGGGGACGGAGAAGGUUAGGUUGGCAAGCUGUUGGAAUAGCUUGUUUAAGCCGGUAGGUGGAAGACUUAGGCAAAUCCGGGUUUUCUUAACACCGAGAAGUGAUGACGAGUGUCUACGGACACGAAGCAACCGAUACCACGCUUCCAGGAAAAGCCACUAAGCUUCAGUUUGAAUCGAACCGUACCGCAAACCGACACAGGUGGGCAGGAUGAGAAUUCUAAGGCGCUUGAGAGAACUCGGGAGAAGGAACUCGGCAAAUUGAUACCGUAACUUCGGGAGAAGGUAUGCCCUCUAAGGUUAAGGACUUGCUCCGUAAGCCCCGGAGGGUCGCAGAGAAUAGGUGGCUGCGACUGUUUAUUAAAAACACAGCACUCUGCCAACACGAAAGUGGACGUAUAGGGUGUGACGCCUGCCCGGUGCCNGAAGGUUAAUUGAAGAUGUGCAAGCAUCGGAUCGAAGCCCCGGUAAACGGCGGCCGUAACUAUAACGGUCCUAAGGUAGCGAAAUUCCUUGUCGGGUAAGUUCCGACCCGCACGAAUGGCGUAACGAUGGCCACACUGUCUCCUCCCGAGACUCAGCGAAGUUGAAGUGGUUGUGAAGAUGCAAUCUACCCGCUGCUAGACGGAAAGACCCCGUGAACCUUUACUGUAGCUUUGCAUUGGACUUUGAAGUCACUUGUGUAGGAUAGGUGGGAGGCUUGGAAGCAGAGACGCCAGUCUCUGUGGAGUCGUCCUUGAAAUACCACCCUGGUGUCUUUGAGGUUCUAACCCAGACCCGUCAUCCGGGUCGGGGACCGUGCAUGGUAGGCAGUUUGACUGGGGCGGUCUCCUCCCAAAGCGUAACGGAGGAGUUCGAAGGUUACCUAGGUCCGGUCGGAAAUCGGACUGAUAGUGCAAUGGCAAAAGGUAGCUUAACUGCGAGACCGACAAGUCGGGCAGGUGCGAAAGCAGGACAUAGUGAUCCGGUGGUUCUGUAUGGAAGGGCCAUCGCUCAACGGAUAAAAGGUACUCCGGGGAUAACAGGCUGAUUCCGCCCAAGAGUUCAUAUCGACGGCGGAGUUUGGCACCUCGAUGUCGGCUCAUCACAUCCUGGGGCUGUAGUCGGUCCCAAGGGUAUGGCUGUUCGCCAUUUAAAGUGGUACGUGAGCUGGGUUUAAAACGUCGUGAGACAGUUUGGUCCCUAUCUGCAGUGGGCGUUGGAAGUUUGACGGGGGCUGCUCCUAGUACGAGAGGACCGGAGUGGACGAACCUCUGGUGUACCGGUUGUAACGCCAGUUGCAUAGCCGGGUAGCUAAGUUCGGAAGAGAUAAGCGCUGAAAGCAUCUAAGCGCGAAACUCGCCUGAAGAUGAGACUUCCCUUGCGGUUUAACCGCACUAAAGGGUCGUUCGAGACCAGGACGUUGAUAGGUGGGGUGUGGAAGCGCGGUAACGCGUGAAGCUAACCCAUACUAAUUGCCCGUGAGGCUUGACUCU